AAAUAUUACUUGUUAAUUAUUUCUAAUCUAGUAAUUUUUUAUUGUCAUAAAAAUUAAUCUUAAUUUUAAAGUUGUUUGGUUAAUUUUGUAUAUAUAUAUUUAUUCUUAAAUAACUAAAAUUUAGUAUUUAAAUUUUAACAAUUAAGAAAACUUAGAUUAAGACAUUUAAAUUUUUAUAAACUAAAUUUGUGCCAGCAGUAGCGGUUAUACAAAUUAUAAAAGUCAACUUUUUAAAAAAAAUAAUAAGAAAUUUUAAUAUAAAAAUUAAAUUUAUUUAAGUGAAAUUUUAAAUUUAAAAUAUAUUUUUUUUUAUUUAGAUAUUUAAAAAUUUUUUAAUUAAACUAGGAUUAGAUACCCUAUUAUUAUAAAUGUAAAUAAAAAUUUUAGAUUAUUAAAAUUGAAGAUUUCAAAAUCUAAAGUUUUGGCAGUAUUUUAAUCUUGUCAGAGGAAUCUGUUUAUUAAUUGAUAGUCCACAAUGGAAAUAACUAAAAUUUUAAAUUUAUAUAUCGUUGUUAAAAAAAUUUUUAAAGAUAAUUAUUUAGGAUUUAAAAUAAAGUUAACUUCAAAUCAAGAUGUAGUUUAUAUUUUAGAUUUAAUGGGUUACAUUAUAUUUAUAUUUAGAAGUAAAAAAUAAAAAAUUAUUGAAAAUGGAUUUGAAAGUAAUUUUUAUAUCUUUAUAAAGUGAAUUAGCUCUAAAAUAUGCACAUAUUGCCCGUCGCUUUUUCUUUAAAGAAAAAUAAGUCGUAACAAAGUAGAUUUACUGGAAAGUGAGUCUAGAAUAAC
rnacentral:ncRNA from 1 species